rnacentral:rRNA from 1 species
AGUGAACGCUGGCGGUAGGCCUAACACAUGCAAGUCGAACGGCAGCACAGGAGAGCUUGCUCUCUGGGUGGCGAGUGGCGGACGGGUGAGGAAUAUAUCGGAAUCUACUCUGUCGUGGGGGAUAACGUAGGGAAACUUACGCUAAUACCGCAUACGACCUACGGGUGAAAGCAGGGGACCUUCGGGCCUUGCGCGAUUGAAUGAGCCGAUGUCGGAUUAGCUAGUUGGCGGGGUAAAGGCCCACCAAGGCGACGAUCCGUAGCUGGUCUGAGAGGAUGAUCAGCCACACUGGAACUGAGACACGGUCCAGACUCCUACGGGAGGCAGCAGUGGGGAAUAUUGGACAAUGGGCGCAAGCCUGAUCCAGCCAUACCGCGUGGGUGAAGAAGGCCUUCGGGUUGUAAAGCCCUUUUGUUGGGAAAGAAAUCCAGCUGGCUAAUACCCGGUUGGGAUGACGGUACCCAAAGAAUAAGCACCGGCAAACUUCGUGCCAGCCGCCGCUGUAA